UACGAAGGGGGCUAGCGUUGUUCGGAAUCACUGGGCGUAAAGGGCGCGUAGGCGGCUUUAUAAGUCGGGGGGUGAAAGCCUGUGGCUCAACCACAGAAUUGCCUUCGAUACUGUAGAGCUUGAGACCGGAAGAGGUAAGUGGAACUGCGAGUGUAGAGGUGAAAUUCGUAGAUAUUCGCAAGAACACCAGUGGCGAAGGCGGCUUACUGGUCCGGUUCUGACGCUGAGGAGCGAAAGCGUGGGGGAGCGAACAGG
rnacentral:rRNA from 1 species